CACUGAAACAUUACGUCCUUCCCUUGGUAACUGAAUCGUUCAUUUGAAACACCCGGGACUGGAGAGAAUUCUUCUAGGGGAAAGAGUUUUCACUGUCAUUUUUAUUUGAAUUUUUCAUUUGCUUAAAGGUGAGUCCAAAUUAAACAAAAGAACUUGAGGUGUUGACUGUCUUACUAAAAUAAAGGAACAGGCACGAUUUCGCAGGCAAAUCAUAUUUCUGGAACCUGUGGGACAUUAUCCAGUUUCAGUGGAUUGCCUUCGUAGCUUUUCUAAACCUAAAGGACUUAUCAGCAACAUGGAGACAGUGUUGUCCUGCAUUCUUCAGUUCCAGAAGCUGGCAGAAGAAAGGCCCUAUGAGCGGUGAGCCCGCUCUUUAGCGCACACCGGGGAGGAGGCUCCACCUGCUGCCGGCCCACCAAUACUUCCAGCUGACUGCUUUGCAGAACAGCAAAGCAUCCCAGCUAGCUUCUGUACGGGCCCACCUGAAGCACUCCUGAGAGAUUUCAUUCGAGCUACUCCAGCCUGUCCCGUGUGAAUAAGCACAGGUCCCCCACUCAGCUGGUCUCUACUCCAAGGAUCGCGUUUCAAAAUCUGUCGACAGGAAUCAAGGAAUCAAGGUAUUUUCUUUUUCCCUGAAUCACCGGUCAGUUCUUCUCUACUCCAGUUCUUCUCUAUUAAGUGAGGACUGUGCUACCAGCCUGUGGACUCACCAUUUAC